rnacentral:rRNA from 1 species
UUCCCGGGUGAUCCCGCGGGACCCGACUGCUAUCAGAGUGGGACUAAGCCAUGCGAGUCAACGUAGCAAUACGUGGCAUACGGCUCAGUAACACGUAGUCAACAUGCCCAGGGGACGAGGAUAACCUCGGGAAACUGAGGAUAAACCUCGAUAGGCCAUGAUUUCUGGAAUGAUUCUUGGCUCAAACCUAUAUGGCCCCUGGAUUGGACUGCGGCCGAUCAGGCUGUUGGUGAGGUAAUGGCCCACCAAACCUAUUACCGGUACGGGCUCUGAGAGGAGGAGCCCGGAGAUGGGCACUGAGACAAGGGCCCAGGCCCUAUGGGGCGCAGCAGGCGCGAAACCUCUGCAAUAGGCGAAAGCUUGACAGGGUUACUCUGAGUGAUUUCCGCUAAGGGAAUCUUUUGGCACCUCUAAAAAUGGUGCAGAAUAAGGGGUGGGCAAGUCUGGUGUCAGCCGCCGCGGUAAUACCAGCACCCCGAGUGGUCGGGACGAUUAUUGGGCCUAAAGCAUCCGUAGCCGGUCCUGCAAGUCUUCCGUUAAAUCCAGCUGCUCAACAGAUGGGCUGCGGGAGAUACUACAGGGCUAGGAGGCGGGAGAGGCAAGCGGUACUUUAUGGGUAGGGGUAAAAUCCGCUGAUCCAUAGAAGACCACCAGUGGCGAAGGCGGCUUGCCAGAACGCGCUCGACGGUGAGGGAUGAAAGCUGGGGGAGCAAACCGGAUUAGAUACCCGGGUAGUCCCAGCUGUAAACGAUGCAGACUCGGUGAUGGGUUGACCUCGCGCCUGCCCAGUGCCGCAGGGAAGCCGUUAAGUCUGCCGCCUGGGGCGUACGGUCGCAAGACUGAAACUAAAGGAAUUGGCGGGGGAGCA